rnacentral:lncRNA from 1 species
GGGAGGCUUUCAAAGGUGGCCGGGGAUCUGGAGCGCGUGGGAGCCGCAGGGGGACCGCAGGGAAGAUAAAGAAACCCAAUGGGACCGCCAGUCGCUAAACCCAGGCCCCAGUGUGGAGGUUCCUCUCAUGCCGCCCCCAGAGUUCUGUUUCGCGGCGCGCAGGCCAGAUCCUCCUUCCUCCAGGACACGAAUGGUCUGCCCCCGAGAAGAGCUUCCAUUCUAAGGCCAAUUCUACAAAGUUCUUCAGAGGAUCCUGGCG